GACAGAGGGUGCAAACGUUGUUCGGAAUUACUGGGCGUAAAGCGUGUGUAGGUGGCUGCGUAAGUCGGAUGUGAAAGCCCUGGGCUCAACUCAGGAAGUGCACUCGAUACUGCGUAGCUCGAGUACCGGGGAGGUUGGUAGAAUUCUCGGUGUAGAGGUGAAAUUCGUAGAUAUCGAGAGGAAUACCUGUGGCGAAGGCGGCCAACUGGACGAGUACUGACACUGAGACACGAAAGCGUGGGGAGCAAACAGG
rnacentral:rRNA from 1 species